GACGAACGCUGGCGGCGUGCUUAACACAUGCAAGUCGAACGGUAAGGCCCUUCGGGUACGACGAGUGGCGAACGGGUGAGUAACACGUGGUGAUCUGCCCUGCACUUCGGGAUAAGCCUGGGAAACUGGGUCUAAUACCGGAUAGGACUCCUGGCUUCAUGGUUGGGGUGUAAAGCUUUUGCGGUGUGGGAUGGGCCCGCGGCCUAUCAGCUUGUUGGUGGGGUAAUGGCCUACCAAGGCGACGACGGGUAGCCGGCCUGAGAGGGUGACCGGCCACACUGGGACUGAGAUACGGCCCAGACUCCUACGGGAGGCAGCAGUGGGGAAUAUUGCACAAUGGGCGCAAGCCUGAUGCAGCG
rnacentral:rRNA from 1 species